rfam:Chlorocebus sabaeus isolate 1994-021 chromosome 22, whole genome shotgun sequence.
ACUGGGCGUGGUGGCAUGUGCCUGUAGUCCCAGCUACUCUGGAGGCUGAGGCUGGAGGAUCACUUGAGUCUAGGAGUUCUGGGCUGUAGUGCGCUAUGCUGAUCGGGUGUCUGCACUAAGUUCGGCAUCAAUAUGGUGACCUCCCGGGAGCGGGAGACUACCAGGUAGCCUAAGGAGGGGUGAACCGGCCCAGGUUGGAAACACAGCGGGUUAAAGUGUUCGCACAGUACAUGGCCCACAGUAAGUGCCCAGGAAGUGUUAGCCAAUAGUACUGUGCUUCAGACAUGAUUGCUGCUUAU